rnacentral:rRNA from 1 species
GACGAACGCUGGCGGCGUGCUUAACACAUGCAAGUGGAGCGACGAACCAGGCUUCGGCCUGGGGCAGAGCCGCGAACGGGUGAGUAACACGUGGGUAACCUGCCCUGAUGAUCGGGACAACCCGGGGAAACCCGGGCUAAUACCGAAUGUGCCCGCGAGCCGCAAGGCUUGCGAGGAAAGGAAGCUUCGGCCUCCGCAUCGGGAUGGGCCCGCGGCCCAUUAGCUUGUUGGUGGGGUAACGGCCUACCAAGGCAGCAAUGGGUAGCUGGUCUGAGAGGACGAUCAGCCACACUGGGACUGAGACACGGCCCAGACUCC